CCUACGGGUGGCAGCAGUGAGGAAUAUUGGUCAAUGGGCGGGAGCCUGAACCAGCCAAGCCGCGUGAGGGAAGAAGGUACAGCAUAUCGUAAACAUCUUUUGUCAGGGAACAAGGGCGGGGACUAGUCCCCGUAUGAGGGUACCUGAAGAAAAAGCAUCGGCUAACUACGUGCCAGCAGCCGCGGUAAUACGGAGGAGGCGAUCGUUAUCCGGAUUUAUUUGGUUUAACGGGUGCGAAGGCGGCCUGUUAAGUCAGCGGGAAAAGCCCGGGGCUCAACCCCGGCGAGCGGUUGAAACUGGCGGGCGGGAGUUGGAGAGAGGUACGCGGAAUGCGUGGUGUAGCGGUGAAAUGCUUAGAUAUCGCGCAGAACCCCGAUUGCGAAGGCAGCGUACCGGCUCCACACUGACGCUGAGGCACGAAAGCGUGGGUAUCGAACAGGAUUAGAUACCCGAGUAGUC
rnacentral:rRNA from 1 species